GUGGUGUUAUGGUUGUUCCGGCGGCGUUGCUGCUCCACCCUAAGUCCAUGAAUGAGUAUGGUCAAAAGGACAUGGCCCACAGAGGGUGACAGGCCCGUGGGGGUGGAGAUCAGGCAGGCCAGUGACGCCCUGGAUAGACCUUGGAGUCGGGUUGUUUGUGAUUGCAGCCCAAAGUGGGUGGUAAACUCCAUCUAAGGCUAAAUACCAACACGAGUCCGAUAGCAAAACAAGUACCGUGAGGGAAAGUUGAAAAGUACUUUGAAGAGAGAGUAAACAGUGCGUGAAACCGAUCAGAGGUAAACGGGUGGAGUUGAACUGCAAGCUCUGAGAAUUCAGCCGGUGAGCGUGGUUUGAGCUUGGUCAAGUCAGUUGGACGCUGUGGUCCGAGAAGCACUUAGCAAGUGUUGUGGGCCAAUGGUUGUUCUUCGGGCUGGCUUGCCGGUGCACUUUCUCAGAGUGAUCACCACGACCGGCAUUGCUGUCUGACUGGUGAGGUUAAACCGGUUUUUGCAUGGCCCAGUGCCUCCGCUUGAUCGGGAUGGCAGGUAGCUCGUUGGCCUGCUCGCGGGUUUUCGAGUGUAAUCAGCUGACCACAUCGGUUCUGUGCAGUAUGUCGGAGACGGCGGCUAGUGUGCGUGCGUGCAUAGCUGUUCGGCGCGUCCGGGUUCGGUUGUCCUGUUGCCUGUUUGUGCAGGC
rnacentral:rRNA from 1 species